rnacentral:rRNA from 1 species
UACGUAGGGUGCGAGCGUUAAUCGGAAUUACUGGGCGUAAAGCGUGCGCAGGCGGUUUUGUAAGCCAGAUGUGAAAUCCCCGGGCUUAACCUGGGAAUGGCAUUUGGGACUGCAAGGCUUGAGUGCGGCAGAGGAGACUGGAAUUCCCGGUGUAGCAGUGAAAUGCGUAGAUAUCGGGAUGAAUACCGAUGGCGAAGGCAGGUCUCUGGGCUGACACUGACGCUCAUGCACGAAAGCGUGGGGAGCAAACAGG